UACGUAGGGACCAAGCGUUGUUCGGAUUUACUGGGCGUAAAGGGCGCGUAGGCGGCAAUUCAAGUCAUCUGUGAAAUCUCCGGGCUUAACUCGGAACGGUCAGAUGAUACUGCUUUGCUAGAGUGCGGAAGGGGCAAUCGGAAUUCUUGGUGUAGCGGUGAAAUGCGUAGAUAUCAAGAGGAACACCUGAGGUGAAGACGAGUUGCUGGGCCGACACUGACGCUGAUGCGCGAAAGCCAGGGGAGCAAACGGG
rnacentral:rRNA from 1 species